UACGUAGGGGGCAAGCGUUGUCCGGAUUUAUUGGGCGUAAAGAGCGUGUAGGCGGCCAUACAGGUCAGCUGUGAAAACUCGAGGCUCAACCUCGAGACGUCGGUUGAAACCGUAUGGCUAGAGUCCGGAAGAGGAGAGUGGAAUCCCAGUGUAGCGGUGAAAUGCGCAGAUAUCGGGAAGAACACCUAUGGCGAAGGCAGCUCUCUGGGACGGUACUGACGCUGAGACGCGAAAGCGUGGGGAGUGAACAGG
rnacentral:rRNA from 1 species